AGCAGUAGCAAGCCUCCAAAGCGCCAGAGACCAGUCUCCACACUUCUAAGUCAAGAGAAGAUCAACCUCUUCGAGGAGAUAUCCUCCCUCGACUCCAAAGUUUCGGAGAUAUCUUGAUCAAUCGGGAGAUAGCAGAUAAUUUUGUCAAGAUCUGGGCUUCUCAAGCGGAGCUCACUGAGACGGUGCCCGAGAUCGGAGCAGUCAGCCAGCCGAGUGGAGAAGAGUCCAUCAAACGUUGGUGUGAGAACAGCGAGAUGAAGGAGAAGAUGAGAUGCCAAGACGGAUCAAAGACAAAGCUCUCUAGUUGAUGGAAACAGGACGAGAGCUUCAAUGCUGUCCAGGAUCACUCUUACAGGUGCUUGGAUGAUAGAAGAUGAUGAUGGCAAGAUGAUCUCAAACUCGAAGAAACUGCUUGUGGCAGUGGAGCCAGAGGUUCGGCUUCACAAAGACUGAAAAACGGCUGAUGUUCGCCCCUGACAUGCGGAGACUACAAGAGCUGGAGCGAACUCUAAGACGAAGCAACAGUCAUAAAGACAGAAGAUUGGACGAGUUUCAUGGAACGUGGAAGCUGGUGCAAAGCGAUUCAGAGGUUCAAUGGCCACCUUUACAAUCAAGAAAUGUGGACUGAGGAAGAAGCAAGCUGCAGCGACACACAAAUUGUGAUGGUAGCUCCUUUAGUAUCAGCAACAAAUCCUAUGAUCGUUGGAGGCCGUCUCUUCGAGACUAAAUAAAUAAAACAUCUCAGAGACUACGCUAAGGAGCUGCUUAUUCUGGCCAACUUAUCAUAGGAGGCCCAAUUAGCAUAAUUAUGCCUAGUUAGCAUCAUCCUAUUAUAUACAUUGGGCAUAUAUUGUAAAAUAUCAUAAAUGUGGCUUCAGGUAUCAAAAAAUACUUGUUAACCAGUA